AGUGUCCGCCCCGUAUACUGUUACGUUACCAAGGCGCAGCAGCACGAAACCUUGCUAAAACCCCGACAAUUUGAACCCCGUCGCCGGCGCAGCGAAAUCACCCGCAACUCAAACCAAUCACACAACCUACCCAGACGGCCAGACCCCGCUCCGCCACCGCGCCCACCCCAAAUUAAUCGCACGCGCCACCGCUGCCGCCAUGGGCUCCUCCGUCAGUCAGGCCAGUGCCCCUCCUCCACCUCCUCCGACAUACGCGUCGACCCCUCCUUCCUUCGUGCAUGCUGCCGCUGACGUCGCUGCCCCGCCGCCGAAGCCCCAUGAGGAGGAGGCGACCGAGGAGAAGGUGGACUACCUCAACCUCCCGUGCCCCGUCCCAUACGAGGAGAUUCAGCGCGAGGCCUUCAUGACGCUGAAGCCUGACCUAUUCGAGGGCAUGCGCUUCGAUUUCACCAAGAUGAUCACCCCGUACUUCGCUUUGACUCACAGCGUUGCCAUGGGAUCCAUUGAUAUCCCGGCACAGAAGAGUGGGGUGAUCAAGAUUCCCACCUCCAAUUAUGAGUUUGGUGCCAACUUUAUCAAUCAGAAGUGGGAUUCUCUUGUAGACGAUGCUCAUGGGGAGGGUCGCACAUGAUGGGAGGGAGAACAUCCGUGUCAAGCACGAUAUUACGGACAACCUUUCUUUAAAGAUAAAUGCUCAGUUGACAAGUGAGCCCCACUACUCCAAGGGGAUGCUUUAUUUUGAUUAUAAGGUCAGCCUCUUGUUGUAAAGAUCGAUUUCUGUUGUCUUGGAAGCCUGCAUUUGGUUGUUUAGUUUGGUUGGCUGUCCCGGCAAUUGUACCUGACUACUUUCUCUUAUGUUAUUAAGUAAAUAGCUAAUUGUUAUUUGUUGAUGUACUAUCUCGCUCAAAAUUGAUUUAUUUUUGUGA